AUCCAUCUCCUCAGAGAUGGUUCUGGCUUAACUUCAUGUGGUGUCUAUUGUUAAAAAUGAUUUAAUUUCAUUCAUUAAUGGAAUUUAAAAACUAAAUCAUUCACUAAAAGCCAAGACAAAAUUUAAUUAAAUUUUAUAUUUCAAAAGUCUUGUUGCUUUUGUGUUGUUUUUUUAGGUUUGAUUCGGUAAUUUAUCCUUUUACAUGACAAAAUUGAUACUCAGACGCACCUUGUAAUGUGGGUGUUUAAAACUUUCACCACAACCCAACACCCAACUUUAAUAUAGACAAAAUGGGUACUCAGACGCAUCUUGUAAUACGGGGCGGAAGGGGGGGUGGCAUACGCCCUCUUUCAUAAAAGCAAUUUAUACACCAGUAGUUAAUAUUUUUUUAAGUGUUGAAAUAUAUUUUUUAUUUUUUGUAAUAGAUUUAAUCAUUUUAGUAA